rnacentral:rRNA from 1 species
AUUGAACGCUGGCGGCAUGCCUUACACAUGCAAGUCGAACGGCAGCACGGGAGCAAUCCUGGUGGCGAGUGGCGAACGGGUGAGUAAUAUAUCGGAACGUGCCCAGUCGUGGGGAUAACGUAGCGAAAGCUACGCUAAUACCGCAUACGAUCUACGGAUGAAAGCGGGGGAUCGCAAGACCUCGCGCGAUUGGAGCGGCCGAUAUCAGAUUAGGUAGUUGGUGAGGUAAAGGCUCACCAAGCCGACGAUCUGUAGCUGGUCUGAGAGGACGACCAGCCACACUGGGACUGAGACACGGCCCAGACUCCUACGGGAGGCAGCAGUGGGGAAUUUUGGACAAUGGGCGCAAGCCUGAUUCAGCAAUGCCGCGUGCAGGAUGAAGGCCUU